rnacentral:tRNA from 1 species
GGAGACGUGGGUGAGAGGCCGAAACCGCUUCCCUGCUAAGGAAGUAGUCGCAAUCGCGGCUCGAGGGUUCGAAUCCCUCCGUCUCCG